UACGUAGGGGGCGAGCGUUGUCCGGAUUUAUUGGGCGUAAAGAGCGUGUAGGCGGCCAGGUAGGUCUGCUGUGAAAACUCGAGGCUCAACCUCGAGACGUCGGCGGAAACCAUCUGGCUAGAGUCCGGAAGAGGAGAGUGGAAUUCCUGGAUGGUAGCGGUGAAAUGCGCAGAUAUCAGGAAGAACACCCGUGGCGAAGGCGGCUCCUCUGGGCAGCAACGUGACGCUGAGGCACGAAGGCCAGGGGAGCAAACGGG
rnacentral:rRNA from 1 species